CAUUAGGCAGAAACAAGCCCUCAUGGGAGUUCAUGGCCCUCAUGUUUGGCAUUAUGAAUGGAAUGCAUGGGCAACACUUAGGCUGGGAUAAUACGAAAUGGAAAGUUGCUUCCAGAGCACGAUAAAUAAGAGCCCUUUUAGGUUAGUCCUCUUUUCUCUUUCUAACCCAAACUUCCCCUCCCCGACUUUAGAAGAGACAACAUACUCUUGAGGCGACCUGCUCUAGGGUCACCACACACAACCUGGACCACCUGGGCAGAAUUGCUAAAUCUGACUCAGAAGACAGAAUCCUCCCUGGCUGACCCAAACUCUAUACCCAGUGUCACUCAUCGAAAUCCAGGGAAAAUUGUUAUUUUUGGGUCAUAGUCACUUGCUCUCAAUCACCUGUCACAGUUGAUAUUUACUGAAGACCCAGGGUGGGCAGGGGACCCUUGGGGUACACCAUGGUGAUUGGAGAAGAAACCUGAGGGCGUCUUCCACAGGGACCCCUGGGCCCCGAGCCAGAGGAGCUGGGCUUUCUCCGGUGGGGUUUGGAUGGAUCCGGAGAAUGGCUCCACCAGACCAUGCAGGCAAAUCUACACUUGACAUGGAGUGGGGUCCAGUUUAGAGCUCUCAUUGGUUCAAAAAAUAUUAAUUGAGCUGUGCUCUAUGCCACCCUCUGCGUGGGUGGAAGAGACAUGAGCACCUCAGCGAGGACGGCUGAUCUCCGGAGAUUUGCUUCCCGGGGGAAAGACAGACAGCACCCAGUCAGCAAUGUGCAGGAUCCUCUCAGAUGGUGACACUGAGCUCCGAGAAGAACACAAAGUAAGACAAUGGGAUGGAGAUCAGGAAGCCAGCCGGCAGGAAACCUGGGCCAGCCCUUCCACCAACCAGGGCUCCGCUGUGAGCAGGGCAGCGAUUGGACUCCAAACCUCUCCCACCUCUCUCCUCAUGGUCUGUGUACUCUUGCGCCUAUAAAGGAUCUUGGUAAUGGAUUCCAAAAGAAAUCUUACAACACACUGCAAAUCAGCAUCAGCUUGUGAAACUGGGGCCGGUCAUGAGGAUGUUGAUUGCUUAAAAAACAGUGAUCACCACUGUAGUAAGAACAUGUCGCCCUACAACAGCAUUCGCUAGGCCCCUGAUUGCUCCUGGGGUUAGCCGGGGCCAUGCCACUAGACAGCUCCCCCUCCAGUAUCUGUGAGCACGGAUCACAGAGUUAGACCAUCUGUGAGCAAGAGAGGGAAAGAGCCCGUGUGACCUGCACGGAUAGGAAGAUGCACACUCCUGAGGGUAACUCGUCUCUGGUUGGCAGGGUGGAUCUCUCCAGGAACAAGCAGAGAGGGUGUGCUGCUUGCCUGGGGAGAAGGUCCUACUAGUUCCGAUGGGAACGAAGUGAAAUAAACUAACUCCUC
rnacentral:lncRNA from 1 species